CUUGGUGAUCGCUCAGAACCACCAUGACGACCUCACAGCUCUUCUUGGUUCUCGCCCUCGUGGCAGGCAGCCUGGCAGCCCCCUGGGGAGCGGACGUGCCAAGAUGCUCCACCGAAUGCCCCGUCACCGGAUCCCCCAAACUGGCCUACCAACCCGACAAGACCUACGCCUACCAAUACUCCGGCAAGUCCAAGGUCCAGCUCAAGGGCGUGGACAACGGCGACUCGGAGACCGAGUGGACGGCACAAGUUGAUCUCACCUGGAUCAGCCCUUGCGACAUGGCCAUCUCCUUCAAGAAUACCAAGGUGGAUGGCACCCCCGGUCCCAUCGUUGCCAGGACGCUGGAGAGACAUCCACUGUGGUGGCCGUCGUCGACGGAAGGGUGCAGCACGUGUGCGCUCACCCAGAGGACGAACCAUGGGCCAUCAACCUGAAAAAGGGCGUGGCUUCGGCUUUCCAGAACUCCAUUCCUUCUCUGUCUGCUGUCAGCUCAGGCAUCACAGUAACGGAGACUGAUGUUGUGGGAAAAUGCCCAACAAAGUAUGAAAUUGAGACCGAAGGAGAGAAAGUCAUUGUCGUCAAGGAGAAGAACCACCACCACUGUCAACAACGUUACCCAACACCCGCUCAUAUACCUGCACUAUGGCUGAAGGCUCCCCUGCCAAUCCAGGAAUCCACGUCACAGUGCAAGCAGGAAAUCGCCAAUGGCAUUUACACCGCCAUCACGUGUCAGGACAAGAACAUCGUUCGACCUGCCAUUGGAAUCUACAAGUACGUGGAGGCCAGUCAGGAUUCAACACUUCGCUUCAUCUCGGAGUCCUCCGACACUUCAGCUAUCAGUGCCAUCCCUUCAGGAGAAAUGCAAGUUGAAAGCCUCCUGUACAACCACCAAACAAUGAAGGACCCACAACUGGCACCUGAGCUGGAUGAGCUCAUGAAGGGGAUCUGUGACAAGACCAAGGACACAGUUGAGGCUGAAGCUGCUGCUUUGGUUGCCAAGGCUCUCCAUCUGUUACGUCGUGUUCCAGAGACAGUUGUGGUGGAGACUGCACAGAAAGUGAGACAAGGACAUUACUGCAGUGACUCUGCCAGGCUGGAGAGUAUCUUCUUGGACGCAGUUGCUUUCCUGCAUGAGUCUGGUGCAGUAAAGGUCAUGGUCCAAGAAAUCGAGAAUGGACGAGCAACAGGGGGACGUCUCGCUCUGUACACGGCAGCGCUCUACCUCAUCCCACGACCCAGCAUUGAGGCAGUCAAGGCUCUCACGCCACUCUUUGAAAGCCCUCGCCCAGUGCCCUCGGUGCUGCUGGCAGCUGCUUCCAUGAUAAACCACUACUGCCUUCAUACUCCAGCUUGCCACCAGAAAGCUCCAGUGGCGAGAAUUGCAGAGAUUCUGGCCACCAGAGUCCAGAGUCACUGCUCUCCUUCUGCUGGUGCUGAGGGCGAGGAAGUACCCCUUGCAUUCUUCAAGGCAAUAGGGAAUAUGGGUGUAGCUACACCUGCCGUGACAAGGGCAGCCGUCCAAUGCAUUGAAGAAGAAGGACUGGAAACCAGCAUUCGGGUAGCUGCAGCACAAGCCUUCAGACAAGCCAAUUGCUUCCGUCCAGCAGUUGAAAAGCUAGUAGACAUUGCCGUCCGACCAGCCUUUGACACCGAAGUCCGCAUCGCUUCCUAUCUGGCAGCUGUCCGAUGUGCUGAACAGGAACACCUGGAGAAAAUUAUUGAGAAGAUUUCAAAGGAAGAGAAUACCCAAGUGCGUGGAUUUGUUUUGGGUCACCUGAUCAACAUCCAAGAGGGUAGCUGCCCCAACAAAGAAAACCUCAGGUACCUCCUUGCCAACGUUGUCAUCCCUACCGACUUCGAGAAGGACUUCAGGAAAUUCUCUCGACAUAUAGAUAUGGCUUACUAUGCCCCUGCCUUUGGCAUGGGUGCCGGCCUCGAGUCGAACAUCAUCUAUGCUCCCGGAUCUUUCAUUCCUCGUGCUGUUAACCUGAACAUGAGAGCAACUGUGGAUGAGACGCCCAUGGACAUAGCAGAGAUUGGUGCGCGCUUUGAAGGAGUCGAUUCCAUCAUUGAAGAGCUCUUGGGCCCACAGGGAUACCUACGCAAAGCAACAUUUGGAAAGAUUAUGGAGGACAUUACGGGUUUUGCAGGAGAGAAAGGCCUCAAGAUCAUGGAGCACUUCAAGCACACAAUGAGGACCAGGCGAUCCAUCGAUGCUUCUGUCAUCUCCGACUUCUUCGGCAAGCUGUAUGGUGAGAGCAGUUCGCACACCCACGCCGAUAUAUUUCGCCCGGUUCAUGGGGCACGAGAUUACUUUCGCAGAUGUUGCCCAAAGCCUCAAGGGUGUCACAGCUGACACACUCAUUGAGACUUUUUCUCUUUCUUCGAGAAUUCCUUGGAACAUAUGAAGGAUCUUAACCUGAACACAGCAAGAACUGCUCAGCUUUCCAUGGAUUACUCACUGCCCACCAUUCAGGGCACACCACUCAAGCUGAACUUAGCUGCAACUGCUGUUGCUGGCCUCAAGAUGGAGGGCAACGUCAACAUUGGCCAGAUCCUCUCUGACCUGGGCAAUUCCCACACCGGCAUCAAGGUGUUCCCAGGCCUUUCUGUACAAGCCACUGGUUUUGUUGGCUUUGAGUGCCGCUUUACCAAGGUGGGAAUCGAGAUGCAGAACACCAUCUCUAGUGCCACUGGAGCCGCCAUCAACAUCAGAACAACUGAAAACAAGAAGAUCGAGCUGGAAUUGGAGAUCCCUGACAAGAUGGAACUCCUCAACAUCAAGGCCGAGACUUACCUUGUCAAAGCUAGGGGAAAGAAGAUGACUAAGAUUUCUCCUUCCUCCAUGAGAGAUGUCAGGAUUGAGCGCAGGUCCUGCAUUGCUGCUUUGGAACCAGUAUUUGGCCUCAAGGUGUGCUAUGACAUGAACUUCCCUGAUGUGUUCCGUGCUAAUGCCCUGCCACUUGGUGAACCAGCCAUCGCCAAGCUGUACGUUGAGAAGGCAGAUCCUUCCAUGAGAGGUUACUUAGUGACUGCUGCCAUCAAGAACAAGAGAGGUAACAAGCUCAUUAAGAUGAAUGUAGAAGCAGCUGGUGCCUCAACACCAAGAAGAGCAGAAAUGACCCUGUCCUACACAAGGAAGAAGGAAGCCACAUUGUUUCUGCCAAGCUUGAUUCCUCCAGCAUUGCUGCAGGAGUGUGGACUACUCUCACCAACGAGCAAGGACACAAGGCAGUAGAGACUUAUGUCAACUUCAAAUAUGGUCAGACUGCUAUUUCUCGAGGCAUCAAGCUGGAAGCGAUUGCAAGGGAAGGAAGCGUGGGAGAGGAAUUCCAAGUGAACGUUUUCAGCAGCGGCACCAGGAGCUUCCCCUCUAAAUCUCAAAUUGUAGAGGCUAAAUUCAUCAAGAAAACUAGCGGACCCGUAGUUAAUGUGGAUGUGAUUUGCAGGACCAGAAAUGGUCUGGCUGAAUACUUCAACCUCAAUAUGGAAGUGGGAGCUGACCUCAUGGAGUUCUCCUCAGAGGACACAUACAGGACCAGGUACAUUCCCAAGUUCCGCAUUCUUUUCCCUGUAACUUUGCGGAAGGUGGAAGUGCAUGCCGAAACUGGAGCUUGGAGACUGGCAUCAUACAUCCGCGAAGGCAGCCAGUCUGGACAAAUCAGCGAGCACAUUUCUGCACUCAGGCUAACAAAGGGAAGCAAAGAUAUCAUCUCUGUUGAAGCCACUCACACGAUUGAGGGAGCUUUCCCGGAAAACAUCAUCAUCAAAAAUGAAGCAACAGUUGAUAUUGGCAGAUCAUCAUACAAAGCCAUCUAUGAUGUAAUCUACCAGGCUGAAAAGGUCGGGGCUUCUAUGGAAGUCGUCCGCACGGGAGACAAUGAGAAAAUUGUUAAACUGGACGCAAUCUAUCAUCAUUCAGGAGCAGAAUACAGCACUAAUUUCUUGCUGAAGGUUCCCACUUACAUGAAACCUCUCAAGAUUCAGGCCAAGAUUGGAGAAGAAGCAGAGGGUCGCUACAUGCUGGAAACAGCCAUCAAAUAUGGUCAGCGUAUGAUACUUGAAGCUAAUGGGCCAAUCAUGGCACGUCUUUCCUCCAAGAUUGCAAAGAUGCAGGCCAACAUCAAACUCAGUGCAUUGGCAAGUGAACCCUACAUCAUUGGUGCCAAUGUUGUGUUUGGCAACAAGAAACAGGUGAUAGCCAUGGAAAUCAAGGAGCGAGAAGAGCCACUCUUUGGUGUAGAAUGGAAGAUGGUUCAAGAGAGUUCUGAGAAGACCACUGUUGGCAUAGCAUUCGUUCUCCCUGCCCUUAUUGAGAACAAGGUCGAUGCCAUUAUUACUGAGGAACUUAUCCAUGUUAAUUUUAACAACUUGGUUCUGCCUAAUACUUCAUCCCGCCGUCGGGUCAAGGGAUUCACUGAUGUCAACAUUGCAGAGAAAAGGGCAAAUGUGGAAUUUUCUUGGGAUGCCGAUAAUGCUCCCGAAAAGAAGUUGGUGUUGGAUGCAAGUCUGAUCAGCAGUCCUGCCAACCCUGGACAUGCUGAGAUCCACGGGAAUGUCGUCAUUGCCGGAGAGCCUUACCACGCCAAAUUGAUUCUGACUGCCACAGAUCUCAUAGAGCACAUGGAAGGGGAAAAUGGAUUCAAGUUGAUCCUGACAACUCCUAGCCAGAAGACGGUUGUCGUGGGAGCCUCCUGUGAUGUCCAGCUGGCAGGAGCCACCACUAAAGUCAUUUCCACCGUUGAAUACAAGAACGUGAGGGAUAGGAAAUACAAAUAUACAAGUGUGAUUGCCUUGGAGAGGCUUGGUGGUCCACUUAAUUAUGCCGUAGAAGCCAAGGUAACUUACAAACAACCUGGAACAGCAGAAAUAAAGGUAGAAACAACAGCAAAACAUCAUUGGACACCAGAAGAACAUGUUGUAGCAUUCAAGGUGGCUGCUGAAGCUCCAGUACUGAAGACGCCUGCCAUGAUUGCAUUCUCCAUUCACAAUGCACCAAACGCUUUUGUUGGAGUCUGCAAGAUCGAAAGAACUGCUCCUUUCACUGCCUUUGAAUGGAAUGUGCAGGUUACUCCUGAAGGAGGAAUUGAAGCUGUUGAAGCUGGUGUGGACAUGAAAGCCAUCAUUGAAGUUCUGAAGAUUGUUCGUGCCAUUGCUACUCUGGAGGAAGAGAGUUAUGAAACUUAUGGCCCACACACAGCUCAGUACCAGUACCGCUUCACAAGGCCAUCACCCACUUCUUACACCAUGCAGAUGAGGACUCCAACCCGCACCAUGGAAGGAAGAGCUAAACUAUCACCAAGGGAAUCUGGAAUCAAGUUCUACCCCAAUAAGGGCAAAACUGAAUCCAAAUACGAAAUUGGAUACAAGGUCAACCACGAGGGAAGGUGGGCACAACGUGCGUCCAAGUUGGAAGUCAGAAUGAACCAUCCAGUGCUUCCUAAACCCAUCAUGGCCGCUGCUCAGUACACAGUAGCUGAAGGAACAAUGAGGGGAACAAUUGAACUGGACAUUUUCCCAGAAGAAGCCGACAAAAUUACUGGAACUGUGGAAACUCAGAGAAUUUCAGAAAAUGCUAUCAGGGCAGAAGCCUUCUUGACUGGCAGGAUGUUGAAAGUGAACCCUAAAGCUAUCAUCACUGCUGCCUAUGCACCAGAAACAGUUGCUUUGGAUGUAGUGUUCCACAAGACUCCAUCUGCAGCACCAAUCUUCGCCAUUGCUGCCAAGUAUGACAAGACUGCAGCUCACAGUGCAGCUGCCACAUUGACAGUAAAGAUGGAAGAGCGACCUGUCUUUGAGAUGAGUGCAGUGACCGAACCCGAGGAACCAGCCACCUGCAAUGGCAUCAGAAUGAAUGCUGUUGCUUAUGCAGCAGCUUUUGGAAAGUACAACGUGUUCUCCAAGAUGUGCAGGCCCGCCUUCAUUGAGGUGACCGCAAUGCGACCUGGUGGAGCAAAGGAGUACACUGCCAAGCUUGGCCUCCGAUACCCUGACGCUGCUGAAGCAGGCGUAUAUGUGGCGAGUGCUGGAGAGAGUCGCGGUGUUGCUGUUGCUGCUGUGAAGCUGGCUUCACCCACAAUGCUACAGUUCGAGGUGGCUCAUGAACCAGAAGAAGCACACAUUGUAAUGAGUGAAGUGACAAGUACCCUCAGAAAAGUCGCCAUGUCUCUCGAAACAGUUGCAAUGGAGGCCGUCCAGUUCCUCAAGGAAGAAGCUGCUGCAAAGGGUGUCGAGUUCCCGUCAUCUCACUUUGUCAGUCUAGUGGAUGAGGCGAAUGAGGAAAUCAAAGCCAUUUACCGAGAUAUCGUCUCAGAGAUGAGAAUCCUUGACACUGAGUUGAUUGCUGAUAUCUUGGAAAGCCCUACGGUGUCCUUCGUGUCGCGUGUCUACCUUGGAGUAUGGUCACAGAUUGCUCGCCUUCAACAUCACUUUUCAACCAGGGCGGUUGAAAUGAUCCAGCAAUGGCAGGAACAACUAACAGACGUUUCUGAAAUCUUUAUCGAAGCUGUUAUGGAGAUAGUGCAACUCUUGGAAGCCGGAGAAGUACCUGAAACAGUUCGUGUAAUUCUGGAAAAAAUUGAGAACACUGAGGUGUUCAGGAUUGUAAAGAGAGAAGUGAACGCAGUGUUGGCAGAGUAUCCUGAGGAGUAUGAGGCCGUCAAGCACAUCCUCACCAGGGUGACGGCCACUCUCAAGCACGAUGCUGAUAUUGUGUACAAGAGGAUCAUGGAGACACCAGCUGUUCAAAGGAUCUUUGCCUAUGUUAUGCAGUACAUCAACUCGGAGCGCGUGUUUGCUGAGGAAGCAGGAAGUGUUGCCAGCCUCAUUCUCAAAGAAUUUCUUUUCGUUUCAAUUGAAAGCGAAGGCAACGGCAUUGCAGUCCGAAUUCCCCUCCACCGACCCUUGUAUUCACUGACGCAAGUGGCACAAGAAGCAGUGCCCAACCCUGUCACAAUGCUCGAGAACCUGAUAUUUGCCUACCUUGAAUACAUUCCCAUCCCUGUGAGCGACGCAAUCUGGGCCUACUACAACUUCCUUCCACGCUACAUCACGGACGCGCUGCCGCCCUACCCACGAACAGCCAUGGUGGUUGGCGGCACUGAGAUCCUCAGCUUCAGCGGCCUUGUUGUGCGAGCACCUCGCUCGCCCUGCAAGCUUCUCCUGGCUGCUCACGGCUCCCACCGCCUCAUCAUGUCCCACCCGCAAGCCUCAGCCCCGGCACAGCUUGAGCUCAAGACACCAGCAGCCACCGUGAUCAUCAAGCCUGACUUUGAAGUCCUGGUUAAUGGCCAAGCCCUCGGGGGAUCCCAGCAAACCAUCGGAAACGUUAGGAUUGUGAACACAGCCAAGCACAUUGAGGUGGGAUGUCCCCUGAUGAGGGUGAUCGUUGCCAAGGCAGGCGAGGCCGUAGCUGUUGAGGCUUCAGGCUGGAUCUUUGGACGCGUAGCAGGGCUACUGGGCCCCAACACUGGAGAAAUUGCCAAUGACCGUCUCAUGCCCAGCGGUGCAGCAGCCUCCAACCCCCGCGAUUUGGUAGCUGCUUGGCAGGAGGAGCCGCAGUGCUCCACCCCUGAGGUUCCUCAUGCUGAGACCACAGUAGGUCGCCUGGUUCAGUGUGAAGCGUUGUUGGGGAUUCGCUCCAGGUGUAACCCAGUGGUUCACCCACAGCCAUUCAUCAGCAUGUGUCACACUGCCCACAAGGCUUGCGAUGCCGCCCAUGCUUACAGAACCAUUUGCUCUCUGAGAGGAGUGGAAGAAGUUUUCCCUAUGGCGUGCUAACAACACCUGUUGACAUGUUAACAUAGACAUUAAAUGUUGACGACUCAUUCAGAUUUUGGAUAUGGCUAUAGGUAUUAACUGUAUUUUUGUUACGUAAAUGCAUCAUAAAAUGUACAAAAAAAAAUCCUCAAUAAAAUUGCAACCAACUA